rnacentral:rRNA from 1 species
UACGGAGGGUGCAAGCGUUGUCCGGAUUUAUUGGGUUUAAAGGGUGCGUAGGCGGCUUUUUAAGUCAGCGGUGAAAGUUUCAGGCUCAACCUGGAGACUGCCGUUGAUACUGGGGAGCUUGAGUUACGGAGGGGUACAUGGAAUUUAUGGUGUAGCGGUGAAAUGCAUAGAUACCAUAAGGAACACCGAUAGCGAAGGCAUUGUACCGGCCGUUGACUGACGCUGAGGCACGAAAGCGUGGGUAGCGAACAGG